CGCGUAGGCGGCUUUUCAAGCGUGCGGUGAAAGCUCGGGGCUUAACUCCGAGUCUGCCGUGCGAACUGGGAGGCUUGAGUCUGGUAGAGGUCGAUGGAAUUCCGGGUGUAGCGGUGGAAUGCGUAGAGAUCCGGAAGAACACCGGUGGCGAAGGCGGUCGACUGGGCCAGAACUGACGCUGAGGCGCGACAGCGUGGGAGCAAACA
rnacentral:rRNA from 1 species